AUUGAACGCUGGCGGCAUGCUUUACACAUGCAAGUCGAACGGUAACAGGGUGCUUGCACCGCUGACGAGUGGCGAACGGGUGAGUAAUGCGUCGGAACGUGCCGAGUAGUGGGGGAUAACGCAGCGAAAGUUGUGCUAAUACCGCAUACGUACUGAGGUAGAAAGUGGGGGACCUUCGGGCCUCACGCUAUUCGAGCGGCCGACGUCUGAUUAGCUAGUAGGUGAGGUAAAGGCUCACCUAGGCGACGAUCAGUAGCGGGUCUGAGAGGAUGAUCCGCCACACGGUGACUGAGACACGGCCCAGACUCCUACGGGAGGCAGCAGUGGGGAAUUUUGGACAAUGGGCAAAAGCCUGAUCCAGCCAUGCCGCGUGUCUGAAGAAGGCCUUCGGGUUGUAAAGGACCUUUGUCAGGGAGGAAAUCCCUAGUGCUAAUAACACUGGGGGAUGACAGUACCUGAAGAAUAAGCACCGGCUAACUACGUGCCAGCCGCCGCAGUAA
rnacentral:rRNA from 1 species